rnacentral:rRNA from 1 species
UCUGCUCAUGAUAUUGUUAAAUAGCCGCAGUACCUUGACUGUGCAAAGGUAGCAUAAUCAAUUGACUUAUAAUUGAAGUCUAGGAUGAAAGAAUAUAUGGGGAGUACCUGUCUCACUGGGGGUUAUUUUAAAUUACUUAGCAGGUGAAAAUGCCUGUUGAAAUAUAAUAGACGAGAAGACCCUAGAAAUUUUUAAAAUAUAUAAAAUAAUAUAUAGUUUUUGUUGGGGCGACAUUAUAGUAAAAUAAUUAACCUAUAUUAAGUAUACGUGAAGGAUGAUUCCCUGAAAGGUUAAAUUACUCUAGGGAUAACAGCAUAAUAUUAUAAAGUUUGUGACCUCGAUGUUGGACUAGGAAUAUUAAAGCCUAAAAGGCUAUUAUAAUUGCUCUGUUCGAGCAAAAGCUCCUACAUGAUCUGAGUUC